rnacentral:rRNA from 1 species
GAUGAAUGCUGGCGGUGUGCCUAACACAUGCAAGUCGAGCGGUAACAGAUCUAGCUUGCUAGAUGCUGACGAGCGGCGGACGGCUGAGUAACGCGUGGGAACAUACCCCAAAGUGAGGGAUAACCGCCCGAAAGGGUGGCUAAUACCGCAUAUGGUCUUCGGAUUAAAGGAUUUAUCCGCUUUGGGAAUGGCCUGCGUACGAUUAGAUAGUUGGUGAGGUAAUGGCUUACCAAGUCUACGAUCGUCAACUGGUUUGAGAGGAUGAUCAGUCAGACUGGAACUGAGACACGGUCCAGACUCCUACGGGAGGCAGCAGUGAGGAAUCUUCCACAAUGGGCGAAAGCCUGAUGGAGCAACGCCGCGUGCAGGAUGAAGGCCUUCGGGUUGUAAACUGCUUUUAUAAGUGAAGAAUAUGACGGUAACUUAUGAAUAAGCACCGGCUAACUACGUGCCAGCAGCCGCCGUA